rnacentral:rRNA from 1 species
AGACAGGUGGCUGCAUGGCUGUCGUCAGCUCGUGUCGUGAGAUGUUGGGUUAAGUCCCGCAACGAGCGCAACCCUUGCCUUUAGUUGCCAGCAGUUCGGCUGGGCACUCUAAAGGGACUGCCGGUGUUAAACCGGAGGAAGGUGGGGAUGACGUCAAGUCCUCAUGGCCUUUAUGACCAGGGCUACACACGUACUACAAUGGCCGAUACAAAGGGCAGCGACACUGCGAGGUGAAGCCAAUCCCGUAAAAUCGGUCUCAGUCCGGAUUGGAGUCUGCAACUCGACUCCAUGAAGUUGGAAUCGCUAGUAAUCGUGGAUCAGCAUGCCACGGUGAAUACGUUCCCGGGCCUU